AAGGUAUCGUCAAGUUUCUGAUAUCUAUUGCUCCUCAUUUGCAUAACUCUCAAGGCUUGCCCUUCGGUUCUUUCUCCAAUUCGCUGUCGGAUUUUGAUCUUUUAUUGUUGUAGCAUUAACUUAAUGUCAUCAUGUAAAUUCUAUAUCGCAAAGUUGUUUUUUAGCUAAUAACUAAUCUAAAUGGUAUCUCAGAAGUCCAUGAUUCCACGGCUAAAAUCUUGGAUACGUAGGGUGGUUCUGGAAGAAAAAGAAGCUGAUGAGAAUAAAACUAGUGGCCGACCAACAUGGGCUGAGGAAGCUGCAGCAGCUGCAAAAUCGGCAGCAGCUGCUGCGUCUGAUGUUGCA
rnacentral:lncRNA from 1 species